UGCUACUGCUUCUUUUCUACUCUUGCUACUGCUUCUUCGUUUCAUUAUGGCUUCUUUUGGUUUACCUCUUUCUUGCUCCGGAUUCAUGAAACCAACAUUGUCUGGAAGAAGAAUUGUUACCAAGUUCACAUCUGUAAACUUUGUGCCAAAAUUUCAGAAUAUUGUUCUAAAAGUGUCUAAGUCUGUGCUGAAACUGAGCCUGUGAAGAAAAAAGUUGCUGAGUAUGUCGUUGAAACUGAACUUGUGAAGAAGGAAGUUGCUGAGUCUGUCGCUGAAACUGAGCUUGUGAAGAAGGAAGUUGCUUAGUCUGUCGCUGAAACUGAGCUUGUGAAGAAGAAAAUUGAUGAGUCUGUGGCUGAAGCUUAUGCUGCUGUGGAUGAUGUGAAUGUAGAUGAAGAAGUUGGUCCUGCUGGUUUGAAAACUGUUUUUGUAGAUGUGGGGAAGAAAUUUGUAGAUAUAAAGAAAAAAAUGAACACAAGAUAACAAUAUAAAAAUAGCUGAAAUUUUUUUCAGUUAUUGU
rnacentral:lncRNA from 1 species